UACAGAGGGUGCGAGCGUUAAUCGGAAUUACUGGGCGUAAAGCGUGCGUAGACGGUUAUUUAAGUCGGAUGUGAAAGCCCCGGGCUCAACCUGGGAAUUGCAUUCGAGACUGAAUAGCUAGGGUGCGGUAGAGGGAAGCGGAAUUUCCGGUGUAGCGGUGAAAUGCGUAGAGAUCAGGCAGAACACCUGGGGCGAAGGCGGCCAGCUGGGCCGUCCCUGACGCUGAGGCGCGAAGGCGUGGGGAGCGAACGGG
rnacentral:rRNA from 1 species